GGCGGGGGGGGGUUGGAUGAGGGGAGUUACAUGACGUCUUUUUCGGUAGCUCCGCCCGAGUGACGUCAGCCUGAGCCCUCCCCUCCACUCCCCCCGCUUUGCUCACACACGGGUGACGUCACGGCGGCGGCGCUUGUCCGACCGCGCUCGCUCGCGUGAGGCAGUCGGAGCGGCUGGGUUUGAGCUCCGUUAAAAAAAAAACAACUGCGGUGUAGUCGCGACCACCACCACCACCACCGCCAGUUGACUCAACGCUCCCUCCUAAAUCCGCUAGCCCAAGGGACGGGACUCGAGCCGCGGUCUGCGAGACGGCGCCUCGAAAUCGGCGUUCGCCGAGGCUUGGACGGCGGCGGGGGUGGCGAGGGGGUGGGGCGGCGUCCGGCGCGACCCGAAGACGUCCGGGCAAGUGGAUCUAGUCGAGCCGGUGCCCCAAGUCACUACGCUGCGGCUCGGCCUCUUAUCGCGGCCUUGUCAGUCCCACUGUUCCUGCGGGGGAGCGAUACGACAGCAGUGUGGAGACGAAAGGCGUCACACGAGUGCCAAGUGAUAUCUGAACCCGGUCUGAGACAUCCCUCCCCACUUGGGUCAACGCAGCCGAAAUCGGCCUGAGUCGGGAGAGCUGGGGCGCUCGGGACCGCCGACCUGGGGCCGAGAGUGGCAAUGCGCCACCUACCAUCGCGGUGGUGACCACAUCUUCUCAAGGCUUCAUCGCGAAAAUGAAGAAGAGACCCCAGGACACGCUUGACUUCCCCUGCCUUUUAAAUUAACGCAUCACGCCACAGAGUUCCAUCCCGCCGGCGAGGCGGGCUCAGCGGAGCGGACGACCUCCGCAGGAGUAAAACAUAAAAAAAAGACAAAAUCCAAAUCGUCACCAAACGCAACCCCGCGUGCGUGCGUGCGCACACCAAUACCUGUCGCCCUGCCACCAAGCGCAUUUGCAAUGGUGACAUAACGUCGGCGUCUGCUCACGAGAUCGACGCCGCCCCCCCCCCCAGCCCCCGAAGGAUCGCAGCAGCGCGGGCC